rnacentral:snRNA from 1 species
UUGUCUCUUAAAGAAAAAAAACAAAAGGGAAAAUAACGAUUCGGGGUUACGCCCGAAUCCUCACUGCUAACGUGAGACUAAUUUUUGAGCAGGUAAAGGCUGCCCCUAAGGUGACCCACCUACUUUGUGGGAUGCCUGGGAGUCACGAUCUGCCCG